CAGUUCCAGUUUGAUGUCUAGUGAGAUAGAUAGAUAGAGAUGUGCCAAGAGAGUAAAUCACGGCAUUUCUGUAUGUCUGACUAUGGAAUAUUCUUCAGAAAUCACUGAGACCAUUUAUUUUACAUUGGAAUUUCAUCUUGAUCUAAGAUCCAUCAACUUUAGUAGGAUUGCUUGGAAAUGGAUGAUAACUGAAAUUUGCUGUCAACUUAGAAACUCCAUCUGUGAUCACUAUUAUCACCUCCUCACCGCCAAACCUCAAACCAAAGCUGUGCCUUCUGAAUCCAUUUGUGGUAAGAAUUUUUCAUACUCAUACAGGACUCUAGAGUUUCUGAAGCAUUUUUAUACACAACAUUUUCUUUUACCUUGAUCAACACUCAGAAUUUCUAGGUGCCAGAUUUUGAAAUAGAGAGUCAGGAAUACAGACUUUCUGUUCUCUUUCCUCAAAAUUCUAAUUUUGUGAUGCGAUGUUCUGUCAGAUUGAUUUGGGCCUGCAGCAGGAAUUAUCAUUUCUCUGCAUGGCCAUAAGGGCCUGGCUGGGGUUCCAUUUAGCCAGCCCUGUCGUCCUGCUGAUGAGAUCAUGUAUCUAGCCAUGCACUUCUUGUCUG
rnacentral:lncRNA from 1 species